ensembl:lncRNA novel transcript
UAAAUGCCCUGCACCAAUAGGUCUCCCCACCUUGGUCAAGAGGUUCAGUGUAUGUGCUGGCACACACUUUCAAUGUUGUGGCAAGUAGUUUAAAAUAUUUUCUAAACCUUCACGCCUUCUGUUUGUACAGAACCUCAGUGUCAGCUACAGGUGAAAUAUAAGAACUUUCUAACGUCUUUCUUGGGCAUGCACACCAUUUUGCAAUAUGCGUGUUUUUCCACAUUCCCAGGAAUAUGUCAAAGCUCUUGAAAGCCCUUUACAGGCUACUCAUUUCCCAGAUUUUUCUUUUAUGGUUUUUGGUCUUAUUCUUUGCCCCAACCAUUAUCACUUUCUCAGCCCUCUUCAAUUUAAACAAUUGCUGCUGAUUGUUUUGGAAAAUGCCUCAGGAAAAGAUUAUUCACACUGAGUGAACUCUGAGUCAGGUCAAAUUAAAAAAAAAAAAAGUCCUUUCCAGGUAACUGACAGACAAGUCAAAUAGUAACAAUUUUCUGAAGGUGGAAUUCUUGAGAAACUCUAAAUCAAAUCCAUUCCGUUUUCUCUGGGAAUUGCUAUGCUGAUAAUUUUUACAGCGUGAUUUCAAGGUUGUUGGUUUCCAGUGCUACUGCAAAGCUGUGCAGAAAGGAAUAUGAAUACAGGGCAAGAAAUAUUUCCACAGAAGAUUAAUCGGUUAAUCUCCUCAAGUCCAUGGGGACUUCGGCUCAAAAUAUUCCAAAUUCACUUUUCCUAUGCAUUAUUUUAUUUCUUAAUGACUCAAGAGAUGUGCUGUGUUCUCUUUGGAAACUGCUCAUUGUUUUCUUACUCUGAUUUCUUUCUCCCUCUGUUGUUGCAAAGAUAAAAUUAUAUUAAAAAGUCAA